UUUUUAUUUUGAGUUAUUUCCCCCCCCUUAGCAAAAUAUAGGGGGCGCGGGGCACCGAAAACACAACAGCUACCAGGCAAGCAAAAAAAACGAGUUAACCCAACCUGCGGGGGACAAAAAAGGCGUCCAGCGGCGGACGGGUGAGUAAUCCCUAGGAAAUUCCCCUGAUGUGGGGGAUAACCAUUGGAAAAGAGGGCUAACACCCCAUAAUCCCUACGGGCCAAAAAGGGGGACCUUCGGGCCUCUCGCCCCAGGAUACCCCUAGGGGGGAUUACCAAGUUGGGGAGGGAAUGGCUCACCAAGGCGACGAUCCCUAGCGGGUCUGAAAGGAUGAUCAGCCAAACUGGAACUGAGACACGGUCCAGACUCCUACGGGAGCAAGCAGUGGGGAAUAUGGCACAAUGGGCGCAACCCUAAUCAACCCAUCCCGCGUGUGGAAAGAAGCCCUUCGGGUUGUAAAGCACUUUCAGUCGUGAGGAAGGUGGGGUAGUUAAUAGCUCCAUUAUUUGACGUUAGCGACAGAAGAAGCACCGGCUAACUCCGUGCCAGCAGCCGCGGUAAUACGGAGGGUGCGAGCGUUAAUCGGAAUUACUGGGCGUAAAGCGCAUGCAGGUGGUUUGUUAAGUCAGAUGUGAAAGCCCGGGGCUCAACCUCGGAAUAGCAUUUGAAACUGGCAGACUAGAGUACUGUAGAGGGGGGUAGAAUUUCAGGUGUAGCGGUGAAAUGCGUAGAGAUCUGAAGGAAUACCGGUGGCGAAGGCGGCCCCCUGGACAGAUACUGACACUCAGAUGCGAAAGCGUGGGGAGCAAACAGGAUUAGAUACCCUGGUAGUCCACGCCGUAAACGAUGUCUACUUGGAGGUUGUGGCCUUGAGCCGUGGCUUUCGGAGCUAACGCGUUAAGUAGACCGCCUGGGGAGUACGGUCGCAAGAUUAAAACUCAAAUGAAUUGACGGGGGCCCGCACAAGCGGUGGAGCAUGUGGUUUAAUUCGAUGCAACGCGAAAAACCUUACCUACUCUUGACAUCCAGAAAACUUUCCAAAAAUGGAUUGGUGCCUUCGGGAACCUGAAAAAAGGGCUGAAUGGCUUCCUCAACCCGGUUGGGAAAAGUUGGGUUAAGUCCCAACAAGCGCAACCUUAUCCUUGUUUGCCGCCAGUAAUGGCGGGAACUCCAGGGAACUGCCCGGGAAAAACCGGAGAAAGGGGGGGACACGUCAAGCAUCAUGGCCCUUACAAGAAAGGCUACAACCGGCUACAAUGGGCAUAAAAAGGGACCAACUACCGUAAGGAGCGAAUCCCAAAAAGUGCGUCGUAGUCCGGAUUGGAGUCUGCAACUCGACUCCAUGAAGUCGGAAUCGCUAGUAAUCGUGGAUCAGAAUGCCACGGUGAAUACGUUCCCGGGCCUUGUACACACCGCCCGUCACACCAUGGGAGGGGCUGCAAAAGAAGUAGGUAGUUUAACCUUCGGGAGGACGCUUACCACUUUGGUUAAGGGGGG
rnacentral:rRNA from 1 species